UGUAAUAUGUUAUGAAUGAUGAGAUUGACCUGACACAUUAUGGAACAUCAGGUCUAGUUUUACUGUAAUAUUCCGGUUCAUCUCAUCCUUGGUCAAAAAGGAAGAUGUCACGGAUGACGCUGCUGGUGAAGUUGAACGAAGAUUAUGAAGCAACUAAUAGACGUUUCCAGGAAUCCGACAGCCCCUCUUCCUUCUUCGAUUCAGUCCUCACUCCUAUUAAAGGCAUUCCUAAUUAGGACCAAACAACGCUCUUUGUCUUUGGCGCUCACUCUUUUGAGUAGGGAAAUUGUUAUUGCUCCUCUUACUUCGUUUUCUUGACUUCUCCUUUUGAUUCUUACAUGUCUCUUUAGCAUUUCAAGGUUUAUAAACAAUAAUGACAUUUGCAAGUGAUCAUGAGGACUGCCUCGGCUGUGCAGCAAGAGACCCUUCUGGGGUGGGUCCUGUCUCCUUGCAAAUUCAGCCGCAGGCUGCUAGCAAUCAGGACCUGCUGUUAGUUUGUAUUUCACCUACGGCAAUCUAAUUUUCGUCCCAGGCUGGUUUGCUAGUGAUAGCAUUUACUUCGAGGUUUCUUGGUCUCCAGGAUUUAAAACUCUCUACAGGGCCAUUGGGAGCGAAGAUGUUUCACUGGAUAUCGCGUACUGUGGAGUUUGUUAUGCUGAUGUUGUCUGGACCAGGAACAAAACAGGAUAUGCCAGUAUUAAUCAUUCCCAAGGCCAGACAUGAGAUCACUGGGAUCGCAAGACAGGUUGGCUCCCCCGUUAAACGCUUCAAAGUUGGAGUUGGAACUUACGUUAAUUCUUGCAGAGAUUGUGAGGAAUGUCAGAGGAUGGAUUGGAGGUUCGGUGGUCCAAGGGAGCAGUCUUAACUUUUGAUGGUACAGUGACCAAAGGAGGAUAUUCGAAUUACAUAGUUGUCC